CUGCUUUCAGGCUGUCCACUUUCGACAAGUACCUGGGCCUUUCCAGGAGUCGGAUCUGAGAAUUCCAGAAGCAUGUGAAGCAUGGGCUGGGCAAGCCGUGGGACUCAGGCUCUGGAAAAAACUAUGAAGACCACAAAAGUACUUCAACCCCUAAGGACCUUGAGACCCAGGGCAAACCAUUCCUGGUACAUGUGCAAGGCAUAUUUCAUAGAGGGACUGUGGGCUUUGGGGCCAGCCUAGCCCCCCAUCUCCUGUUGUAGGGCACAAUGGCACCUCCCUUACAGGGUUCUUACAAGGUUUCUGUGAAGAUAAUGCUAGUUAAGCAGUUUGCAUAGAGCCUGACACCAAUACGUAUGCACUAAAUAUGUUAAUGUUAUUUAUGACAUCAAUAAAACAUGUCAAUGUUUA